AGACGAAGGAUGCAAGCGUUAUCCGGAUUCAUUGGGUUUAAAGGGAGCGUAGGUGGCCUUAUAAGUCAGUGGUGAAAUCUCGCAGCUUAACUGCGAAAUUGCCAUUGAUACUGUAGGGCUUGAGUAUAGUUGCCGUUGGCGGAAUAUGACAUGUAGUGGUGAAAUACAUAGAGAUGUCAUAGAACACCGAUUGCGAAGGCAGCUGACGAAACUAUAACUGACACUGAGGCUCGAAAGUGCGGGGAUCAAACA
rnacentral:rRNA from 1 species